AUAACGGCGUCGAGCGGCGGACGGGUGAGUAAUGCCUAGGAAAUUGCCUUGAUGUGGGGGAUAACCAUUGGAAACGAUGGCUAAUACCGCAUGAUGCCUACGGGCCAAAGAGGGGGACCUUCGGGCCUCUCGCGUCAAGAUAUGCCUAGGUGGGAUUAGCUAGUUGGUGAGGUAAUGGCUCACCAAGGCGACGAUCCCUAGCUGGUCUGAGAGGAUGAUCAGCCACACUGGAACUGAGACACGGUCCAGACUCCUACGGGAGGCAGCAGUGGGGAAUAUUGCACAAUGGGCGCAAGCCUGAUGCAGCCAUGCCGCGUGUAUGAAGAAGGCCUUCGGGUUGUAAAGUACUUUCAGCAGUGAGGAAGGGGGUGUCGUUAAUAGCGGCAUUUCUUGACGUUAGCUGCAGAAGAAGCACCGGCUAACUCCGUGCCAGCAGCCGCGGUAAUACGGAGGGUGCGAGCGUUAAUCGGAAUUACUGGGCGUAAAGCGCAUGCAGGUGGUUUGUUAAGUCAGAUGUGAAAGCCCGGGGCUCAACCUCGGAACUGCAUUUGAAACUGGCAAACUAGAGUACUGUAGA
rnacentral:rRNA from 1 species